GCAAUCCAAAUGAAAAACCUAGGACUAUACCACCAACCCAACACAAUUGGACCUUGACCCGACCCAAAAUUCCAUUAAACACGGCUGAAUCAGCUAACUCAACACCCCUAAAUCCCUUUCUUCCACAAUAUCAAAUCAAUGGUGAAGAACAACAAAGACCACUGAUGUCCCUGAAAAGGUGAAGAACAACAAAGACCACUAUAUUUAGGAGCGUUAAUCCCUUAAUUCUAUGGGUACGAAAGGGAAGCUUUCAAAUCGUCCUUUUCUCCCUUUUACAUCAAAUGGAAAAAUUAAUCUUUUCUCUACCUCCAAAUUUUCUCUGUGAUUUGGGGCCUUUCCAAGAAUUCAAAUUUGAGGACAGUUGGAACCCUCAAAUUUUCUAUAAAAGGAGUCUUUGGGCUCCCAUUUUGCAUCAACAAGAGCAGGGGUCAAGAAUCAUCAAUUAUCAAUUUAGCACUAAACAUUAGGAAGUUCAUAUUUUUAUUUUCUCUUUGUUUUUCUUGCUCUCUUUUCGAGUUUGAAGUUUGAGUUCGAAUCUCCUACGGAAAGCCCUAGUUCGCUGCUCCACAAAAGGAUCUAAGGCACAGACCCGGAGUCCCGCUAAGCAGUAGAUUGGGUUGUCUGAAGUUUGCAGUUGGUGAGCCUCCCUUAUUUUGGAAGACCUUGUUGAUUUGACAUUUAUAUUUCAUUGUUGGUUUAUGGUCUGACUGUGGGCCUUGUCCCCGUAUUCAGACAAUAGUAUUUUUUAGUUGUUAGAGCUUUCGCAGACUAGUGUCAGGUGUUUUUGAAUGUUUCAUGAACUCAUUUUCAUUUGUUCAGUUGAAGUAAAAGAAUGACCAUAUUUCCGUCU